CUACGACCAUACCACCGGGAAAGCACCGGUUCUCGUCUGAUCACCGAAGUUAAGCCCGGUCGGGCGAGGUUAGUACUUGGAUGGGUGACCGCCUGGGAAUACCUCGUGUUGUAG
rnacentral:rRNA from 1 species